GUUCACGCCAUUCUCCUGCCUCAGCCUCUCUGAGUAGCUGGGACUACAGGCGCCCACCACCACGCCCGGCUAAUUUUUUGUAUUUUUAGUAGAGACGGGGUUUUACAGUGGUCUCAAUCUCCUGACCUCGUGAUCCGCCCGCCUCAGCCUCCCAAAGUUCUGGGAUUACAAGCGUGAGCCACCGCGCCCGGCCGUGAUACUGUUUCUUAAAAUGCCCUUCUAUUUUGGGAGUAAGCUGAAAUAUCUACAGAUGAAAUGAUUUGAUGUCUAUGAUUUUCUACAAAAUAAUUCAUGGUUGGAAGGAGGAGUAUGGAUGACAUAAGAUUGAACUGAAAUGUUCAUCACUGAAGGUGGAUGAUAAGUACAUUUAAACUCAUUAUAUUAUUGGCUCUACUUUUACAACUGUUUUCCGAGAAUAAAAAUUCCUUGCUCUCCAGAAGCUUAUAAUAAAAGGAGUCAGAAAUUCCAAUAAAUAGAAUGCAAUGACAAAGUGUUGGGUAAGCUCCAAGGGCAGCAAUGGCUCUCGGAUAGGCAGAAGGAGUCAGAGAAGAUAUCAAAGAAGAGUCUCUCGUUGACCAGAGGCUUUAAGGAAGAGUAUCUCAGGCCAAGGAAAGACAAGUGGGUACAAAGGCAUGAAGACAUGAAGUGGUAGAGCUUCCCCACAUGACUUAUUAGCAGCUAUGUUAGUGCCAGUGUAGGUUCUAGAACCAGACUACCUGUGCUGGAGUUCUGCUUCUGAGUGCCUGCUGUAAGACCUCAUGCAGGCUAUGUGUAAUAUCUCUGUGCCUCAGAUUCUUUACCUAUAAAACAAGGAUUAUAGCAAUAGCAAUAUAUACUUCAAGGGGCUGAUGUCAGGAGUUGAUGAGUUAUUUAAUGCAUAAAAUGCUUAGAAGACGGUGGGUAAAAAAUAAAUGCCAGCUAUUAGCAAUGGUAGCAGACUCCUAGCCCACAAUACCACACAUUCUGAAAAAUCACCUCCAAUUUGUCAAUUUAUCUCCUUUUUGUUAGACUGUAAACUUGUUAAAUAAGGACUGUGUCUUAUUUAUCUCUUUAUCCCUAAAACCUAGCCUAAGACCAUGCCCAUAGUAGGCCUUGAUCAGGCAAUUCUUUCAGAUGGCAGGGUAGGGACUACCAACAGCCUCUGUCUAACUCGCUCUUUAUUUCUCCAUGUGAUACCCUCAAUUCCUGAAAUUCUCUGGCUUCCUUUAGCUUCCUUCCUUGUGUCUAACUCGUCCCCUAUUCUGCUCCAGGGUUGUUCAUUUAUUAAUUAUGCCCUCUGGUCCCUCCCCUGGCAGGUGUCCCAGUGCUUCCUCUCCCUCUCCCCACAGAUAAGAUACUCUCUGAACAGCCUCUGCAUUGCUUAUUCUGCAAUUAGUGAAGGAUGAAGGAGGCUGAACUCCUAGAUCAUACCUAUUUGUGAAAAGUAGAAUCCUCUGGAAAAAGAGAAAAGCAGGUCAGAUGGCCAAAAUAUAAAGCCUUCAAAUGUAGCCCCAGCUUGAGGAAAUCCUGUAGACAUGUUUGUACCAUCAGCUAAAAUCUCACUGUAAUGUUCUGGGGGUUUAGAAACUGCUGGGGAGGAAGGAGGCAUGGUGAGCAGGGAGCCCAGCUUUCUAUCAAUUUUUGCAAACUUCAGUAUUUCUUUUUCCUCUGCUAGUAAACGUCCCCAUUUUCCCUCAGAGUAGACUCAGAGGGAAAGAAAAUUGAAAGAUCCAUUUUCAUAACCGGAGCCUGACAACUGAGAACAUACAAGACCACAGAUGGCUACUGACUCUACAGAUCAAGUAGGAAAGUCAGAUGCAGCUCCCUCUGUGUACAAAGUGCCCUCUGCCCUAAGCCGUGAUGUGGGGCUGGAACAUGAUCCCAGUAUCCCCAAGAGUGGGGACUGCUGGUAGAUCAUUAACUAACUACCCACAAGCAGAAGGAAAAAGAGACCUCUGAAGUACCUCUCUCUACCCAUUCUCCCUGUUUCCUCUGAGAGGACAAUUCAAGGCCAUGUCCCCAGCCUCAGGUUUAAGGGUUCUUUAAUACAAAAAGGGUGGGGGAGGGGAUCACAAAGCAGAAACAGGACACUGGAGAAAACAGACUGACCAUGCUUUGUUUAAAGGUCAAAGUCUUGUGAAGCAUGCCAAUCUUUCUUCAUUGCUUGGGUUCUGUAUGACGUGAGCCUUGUCCUGUACUUGGAGCACUAUGUGAACCCAGAGUUUUCCUUGCUUGAGGCUAGAGAAAUAAAAAGGGGUAACUAUUUUAAAAAGGCUAAUAAACACAAGCAGAGUAGCAAGUAUCUGAAAUCCUAAGUGUGAUUAUAAGGAAGUGAAACUGGUUUUCUUGUAGGCCUCAGACUGAUUUUGAAAGUAACUCUACAUGGCAAGUUGACCAAAAUAUUUUGAGUAAUGAUGACAGAAUUUUUUGAAUAGAUGUGUAUUUAUUCCCAGGACAACUACUUUCAAGGUGCCCAUAUUUAUCUGGAUAUGAUAUACUUGUUAACAGAAUCCUAUAACUAUAACUCACAUGAGUUUCAUAACUUUUUUGUCUUAACUUACAUAGGACUGAGGAACAGUUUAAUACUAGCAGGAGUUUAAAUGAGCCAAUCUCCCCAUUUGAAGUCUUCCUGGUUAACUCCAUCAGCCAGCCCUGUUUGGUCCAGAGGAGAAGGAGCAGGAAUGGAAAUGGACAGAAACAGACGUGACAUUCUCCUACUUCCAUUUAACCCAAAAAGGGCUUUAUCUUUAUUGGAGAAUUAGACUUUGCUUAUUCGCUGGCUACUUCACAUCAGACAGAGAAACUUAAUUAAUGUAAAUUAUUCAAAGAACCAGCUGUAAAAUUUAUCACUAAAGUAACAAAGUACAGGGCAAGAGUUAUUAGUGCUUCAUGCAUGUUUCAGCUUAUUCUCUAAAGCUCAGCAACUUCUCUCUUCUUAAGAAUUGUAAGCCCUCCAUACUGUCAGAGGUGUUCGAACCAGAGCAACUCCAUAUUGAACUGGGGCUGGGUAAAAUGAGGCUGAGACCUGCUGGGCUGCAUUCCCAGGCGGUUAGGCAUUCUUAGUUGCAAGAUGAGCUAGAAGGUCAACACAAGAUACAGGUCACAAAUCUCCCGCUGAUAAAACAGGAUGCAGUAAAGAAGCUGGUCAAAACCCACCGAAACCAAGAUAGCGAUGAAACUGACAUCUGGUUGCUCUCACUGCUCAUUAUACACUAAUUAUAAUGUAUUAGCAUGCUAGAAGACACUCCCCCCAGCACCAUAGCAGUUUGCAAAUGCCAUGGCAAUGUCUGGAAGUUACCCUAUAUGGUCUACACAGUUCUGAGAAAUCCCUGCCCCUUCCUUGGAAAACUCAUGAAUAAUCCACCCCAUAUUUAGCAUAUGAUCAAAAACUAACCAUAAAAAUAACCAACUAGCAGCACUCAGGGCUGCUCUGCCUAUGGAGUAGCCAUUCUUUUGUUUCUUUACUUCUCUAAUAAACUUGCUUUCACUUUAUGGACUUGCCCUGAAUUCUUUCUUGUGCAAGAUCCAAGAACCCUCUCUCGGGGUCUGGAUUGGGACCCAUUUCCCAUAACAUCUUCCAGGGAACCAUGAAGGGACAAUACUGGAGAGACCCCCAACUCCAAAGGAAAAUCAUCCACGCAGCACCAAUUGGCUAACUUUGGGCUAUGAGUGACAGGAUUAGGCAUGUACAGGAUCGUGGGACACAGGGAGCUUUUUUCUCCCUAAAGGGGGAAACUUGAGAGCCAAUGAGACUACCAGAAACGAUCCCUUCAAGACUGACGAUCAGCUGCCUGAACAUUUGAUCCAGUGUCACUGCAAUGGGUACAGUCUCACUCUGUCACCCAGGCUGGAGUGCAGUGGCGCAAUCUUGGCUCAUUGAAAUCUCCGCCUCCCCGCCUCUGCCCGGCCUCCCAUCGUCUGGGAGGUGAGGAGCGCCUCUGCACGGCCGCCCCGUCCGGGAGGAAGUGAGGAGCGCGUCUGCCCGGCCGCCCCGUCCGGGAGGAAGUGAGGAGCGCCUCUGCCCGGCCGCCCCGUCCGGGAAGAAGUGAGGAGCGCCUCUGCCCGGCCGCCCCGUCCGGGAAGAAGUGAGGAGCGCCUCUGCCCGGCCGCCCCGUCCGGGAAGAAGUGAGGAGCGCCUCUGCCCGGCCGCCCCGUCUGGGAAGUGAGGAGCGCCUCUGCCCGGCCACCCCACCGUCUGGGAAGUGAGGAGCGCCUCUGCCCGGCCACCCACCGUCUGGGAAGUGAGGAGCGCCUCUGCCCGGCCACCCACCGUCUGGGAAGUGAGGAGCGCCUCUGCCUGGCCACCCAUCGUCUGGGAAGUGAGGAGCGCCUCUGCCCGGCCACCCACCAUCUGGGAAGUGAGGAGCACCUCUGCCCAGCCGCCCCGUCUGGGAAGUGAGGAGCGCCUCUGCCCGGCCACCCACCGUCUGGGAAGUGAGGAGCGCCUCUGCCCGGCCACCCACCGUCUGGGAAGUGAGGAGCGCCUCUGCCCGGCCGCCCCGUCUGGGAAGUGAGGAGCACCUCUGCCCGGCCACCAAUCGUCUGGGAAGUGAGGAGCGCCUCUGCCCGGCCUCCCAUCGUCUGGGAGGUGAGGAGCGCCUCUGCCCGGCCGCCCCGUCCGGGAGGAAAUGAGGAGCGCCUCUGCCCGGCCCCCCUGUCCGGGAAGAAGUGAGGAGCGCCUCUGCCCGGCCGCCCCGUCCGGGAAGAAGUGAGGAGCGCCUCUGCCCGGCCGCCCCGUCCGAGAAGAAGUGAGGAGCGCCUCUGCCCGGCCGCCCCGUAUGGGAAGAAGUGAGGAGCGCCUCUGCCCGGCCGCCCCGUCCGGGAAGAAGUGAGGAGCGCCUCUGCCUGGCCGCCCCGUCUGGGAAGUGAGGAGCGCCUCUGCCCGGCCGCCCCGUCCGGGAAGAAAUGAGGAGCGCCUCUGCCCGGGCGCCCCAUCCAGGUAGAAGUGAGGAGCGCCUCUGUCCGGCCGCCCCGUCCGGGAAGAAAUGAGGAGCGCCUCUGCCCGGGCGCCCCAUCCGGGUAGAAGUGAGGAGCGCCUCUGCCCGGCCGCCCCGUCCGGGAAGAAGUGAGGAGCGCCUCUGCCCGGCCGCCCCGUCCGGGAAGAAGUGAGGAGCGCCUCUGCCCGGCCGCCCCGUCCGGGAAGAAGUGAGGAGCGCCUCUGCCCGGCCGCCCCGUCCGGGAAGAAGUGAGGAGCGCCUCUGCCCGGCCGCCCCGUCCGGGAAGAAGUGAGGAGCGCCUCUGCCCGGCCGCCCCGUCCGGGAAGAAGUGAGGAGCGCCUCUGCCCGGCCGCCCCGUCCGGGAAGAAGUGAGGAGCGCCUCUGCCCGGCCGCCCCGUCUGGGAGGUGAGGAGCGCCUCUGCCCGGCCACCCAUCGUCUGGGAGGUGAGGAGCGCCUCUGCCCGGCCACCCAUCGUCUGGGAGGUGAGGAGCGCCUCUGCCCGGCCACCCAUCGUCUGGAAAGUGAGGAGCGCCUCUGCCCGGCUGCCCCAUCUGGGAAGUGAGGAGUGCCUCUGCCCGGCCACCCAUCGUCUGGGAGGUGAGGAGCGCCUCUGCCUGGCCGCCCAUCGUCUGGGAAGUGAGGAGCGCCUCUGCCCGGCCACCCAUCGUCUGGGAAGUGGGGAGCGCCUCUGCCCGACCACCCAUCGUCUGGGAAGUGAGGAGCGCCUCUGCCCGGCCACCUAUCGUCUGGGAAGAAGUGAGGAGCGUCUCUGCCUGGCCGCCCCGUCUGGGAAGUGAGGAGCCCCUCUGCCCGGCCGCCCCGUGUCUGGGUAGAAGUGAGGAGCUCCUCUGCCUGGCCGCUCCGUCUGGGAGGUCUACCACGGAGGCCAGAAGCAAUGUGGGGGCUGGACGUGGUGGCUCACGCCUGUGGUCCCGGCACUCUGAGGGGCGAGGCGGGUUGAUCACUUCGGGCUAGGAGUUCGAGACCAGUCUGGCCAACUUGGCGAAACAUGAAGAAUACAACAGACAAACCAACCAACCAACUCAGUGACAACAAAACAGGACACCAUUGGAGACAAUGGUUAUUUUAUGAAGGCUUGGACUGGAAUGGCAUGCCAGAGCGUUUCACUGUGUCACCCAGGCUGGAGUGUAGUGAUACGAUCUUGGCUUACUGCAACCUCCGCCUCUCAGGUUCAAGUGAUUCUCCUGCCUCAGCCUCCGAGCAGCUGGGAUUACAGGCAUGUGCCAUGAUGCCAGGCUAAAUUUUUUUUUGUAUUAUUAGUAGAGACAGCGUUUUCACCAUGUUGGCCAGGCUGGUCUCAAACUCCUGACAUCAAGUGAUCAACCCACCUCAGCCUCCAAAAGUGCUGGGGUUACAGGUGUGAUGACCGCACCUGGCCAAAAUGUCACUUUCUGGCCCAGGAGUCCCAAUUAUCCUGGGAAAUUGAGAGGAAAGAAAUGUACCCAAUUCAUACAAGUAUUUGAAGGUACAAACUCAUGGCUAGGAUGAGUGCUUUAAAAGCUCUAAUCUGAGAUUCCUUAUGGAACAAAGUUCCAUCAAAUCCAAUUUAAAAAGAGCCUAUAUGGCAAAUCAUUACUCUUGCUGCACUUUAUACAAAUAAUCAGACCUACUAUAAUAAGACUAAAACUUAGUUUGCAAAUAAAUGAGUCCUACCAUGAUUUGUUUUUAAUAAAAAUGGGAAUUAGAGAAAAAUUAUUUUUCAAAAACUGUCAUACACCUGUUAUUAGAUUCUAGUCUCAUCUGUUGCUUUUUGAGUUUUUUCUGCAAUUUAGACUGACUCUGCUUCUUCUUGUGAACCAACCAGUGAUCUCUGGCUGCUGCUCAGAAGAAACAAAAGAGGAAGGUAAUGUAAAAAUCUGGAUCAAUAUCUUAAUUCUGGGCAUGUAUUGGAAUCAGCUAGUGACUCUGUAUCAGCUUGGUUGCAACAACUGCCCCAUUCAUGAAAAGCUUUCUUAUUUAGUUCACUUGGAAUAAUUUUACUUAUUUCGCUUUACUUUUGUGGAAUAUAUUGCUGUCAUAUUCUUUGUGUAAAAAUGCAAGAUAAGCUUAUUCAAUGUUUUCUUAAAUUGAGCACUUAUUAGUCUUUCAGAUAUCACCUUUUGUCAGAACUCAGAGUUAUGAAGGGCCCUCACCAUGCUGAGGCUUUCUGACUGAGCUCCUCUCUACCCUGGAUACAAGAGACCCUAAUAGGCAGGAAUAUCAUUGCCCCUAUUCAGCCUAAAGAAGUUACAGUGGAUGGAUCUUUGCCCCUCUGCAACCCUUAGGAUUAAAGAUCCCCUUGUAAAAAGGAGGGGGGAAAUAUGUCAGAGGUGUUUGAACCAGAGAAACUCCAUCUUGAACAGGGUCUGGGUAAAAUAAAGCUGAGACCUGCUGGGCUACAUUCACAGAUUAGGCAUUCUUAGUUGCAGGAUGAGAUAGGAGGUCAGCACAAGAUACAGGUCACAAAGACCCCGCUGAUAAAACAGGAUGCAGUAAAGAAGCUGGCCAAAACACGCCCAAAGCAAGAUAAAGAUGGAACUGACUUCUGGUUGUCCUCAUUGCUCUUCAUACACUAACUAUAAUGUGUGACCAUGCUAGAAGACACUCCCACCAGUGCCAUAACAGUUUACAAAUACCAUGGCAAUGUCUAGAAGUUACCCUAAAUGGUCAAAAAGGAAAAGGAACCCUCAGUUCCAAGAAAUUGCCACCCCUUUACUGGAAAACUCAUGAAUAAUCCACCCCAUAUGUAGCAUAUAAUCAAGAAAUAACCAUAAAAAUAUCCAACCAGCAGCCCUCAGGGCUGCUCUGCCUAUGGACCAGCCAUUCUUUUGUUUCUUCUCUAAUAAACUUGCUUUCACUUUACUCUAUGGACUUACCCUGACUUCUUUCCUGUGUAAGAUCCAAGAACCCUCUCUUGGGGACUUGAUUAGGACCCCAUUCUGGUAAUAAUAUGAUCCAACAAUUCCACUCCUAGGUAUAUACCCAAGAGAAAUAAAAACAUGCCUAUACAAAAACUCAUACACAAAUGUCCAUGGCUGGGCUUGAUGGCUCACCCCUGUAAUCCCAGCACUUUGGGAGGCUGAGGUGGGCAGAUCACUUGAGCUCAGGAGUUCAAGACCAGCCUGGCCAACAUGGUGAAACCCCGUCUCUACUAAAAAUACCAAUAUUAGCUGGGUGUAGUUGUGUGCACCUGUAAUCCCAGCUACUGAGGAGGCUGGGCCAGGAGAAUCAUUUGAACUGGAAAGGCAGAGGUUUCAGUGAGCCAAGCAAGACUCCAUCUCUUAGAAAAAAAAAAAAAAAUGUUCAUAAGCAGCACUGUUUGUAAUAGCCAAAAGCAGAAACAACUCAAAUGUCUACCAACUGAUGAAUGGAUUUACAAAACGUGGUAUAUACAUACAAUGGAAGAUUAUUUGGCAAUAAAAAGAAACGGGGCUGGGCACAGUGGCUCACACCUAUAAUCCCAACAACUUGAAAGGCCGAGGUGGGAGGAUUGCUUGAGCCCAGUUGUUUGAGACCAGCCUGGGUAAUACAGUGAGACUUCAUCUGUAUAGGAAAAAAAUUUUAAGUAAAAAAUAAAAAGAAAUAAAGUAUUGAUAUAUGAUAUAACAUGGAUAAAGCUUGAAAAUAUUAUGCUAAGUGAAAGAAGCCAGUCACAAGAACACAUAUUAUUCCAUUUAUAUGAAAUAUUGAGAAUAGGCAAGUUCACAGAAACAAAAAAGUAGAUUAGGGUUCCCAGGGGCUGGAGAGAGGAGGCUGAAGGGUGGGGUGAAAAAAGGAGCAAUUACUAAUGGGCAUGGAGUUUCUUGUUGGGGUGAUGAACAUGUUCUGAAGACUGAUUUUGGUAAUAGUUAUACAAUUCUGUGACUAUACUAAAAAUCAGGCACUUGUUCUUCAAGUCACCCACUUGGAUGUCUUCCAAGCAUACUUUCUCUUUUUUCAUUUUCUAAAGCCUUUUAAAAAUAAACUCCCGGCCCGGCGCGGUGGCUUACACCUGUAAUCCCAAGCACUUUGGGAGGCUGAGGUGGGUGGAUCACCUGAGGUCAGGAGUUGGAGACCAGCCUGGCCAACAUGGUGAAACCCUGUCUCUACUAAAAAUACAAAAAAAUUAACUGGGUGGCAGGCGCCUGUAAUCCCAGUUGCUCAGGAGGCUGAGGCAGAAGAAUCGUUUGAACACAGGAGGCAGAGGUUGCAGUGAGCCGAAAUCACACCAUUGCACUCCACCCUGGACGACAAGAGCAAGACUCCAUCUUAAAAAUAAAAUAAAAUAAACUUCCACUCUUGCUGUGGAAAAAAAUCAUUGAGGAAUAUACUUUAAAUGGGGCCCAUGAUUCAACAGUGAGACAUGUAGUCUCUGCAUACAAAAUGCUUACACUACAUUCACCAGGUAAUCUUGAGAGGGCAUGGUAAGCGCUACACAGGGGUAAGUACUGGGUACUUCAGAAGCAUGACCUGGGGUUGGGGUGUUAGCAUAGCAUAGCACAGAAGAAGUGAUGUCUAAACCAAAGAUAACUAAAGUUGAUAAGAAAGAGGCAUAACAGGAGCAUUCUAGGCAGAUAGAAUAAGUGCAAAGGCCCAGACACAAUAGAGAACAGGGGUAUUUAAGGAAUUAAAGAAUGUGCUGUGUACCUGGAGUACAAGAAUGGGAGUAAGGUAGGGGCAGGAUUAGCACUUGUAAUAUGACAAAAAAAAAAAAAAAGCUUGGGGGCCCUAUUGAAGAGAUCAAAGUGCAUCCUGAGGGCAACAGAGAACCAUUUAAAGGGCUUUAAUAUUGGGGAAAAUGUGAUUAGAAUUUUGUCUCAUACAUCCACUCCAUCCACACUGCAGAAAAUGAAUUAGAGUGGCAUGGAAUUAGACUGAAGACAAAAAAGUGGAAUCAGAGAGAAGGCUGUUGCGGUGAUCUAGAAAAGGAAAUGCCUGAAUCAGUAGUGUGAGUAAGGUUGGAAAAAGAAGUGGACAGCUUGAGAGAUAUUUAGCAGGUAGUAUUGUCAAGAGGAGUGAUUGACUAGAUGUGGGGGUGAUAAAAGAGUAAUCAAAGAUGGUGGCCAGAUUUCUGGUGUGGAUCAUUGUGGGGUACCAUCCACUGAAAUUUUUUUUUAAAUUUUUUGAGACAGGGUCUCACUCUGUCACCUAGGCUACAGUGCAGUCUUGUGAUCACAGUUCACUGCAGCCUCAACCUCCGGGGCUCAAGCAAUCCCAGCCUCCUGAGUACCCGGUAUUACAGGCACAUGCCACCACGCAGAGAUAAUUAUUUUUUUAAGACAUGAGGUCUCAGGCCGGGCGCGGUGGCUCACGCUUGUAAUCCCAGCACUUUGGGAGGCCGAGGCAGGCGGAUCACGAGGUUAGGAGAUCGAGACCACAGUGAAACCCCAUCUCUACUAAAAAUACAAAAAAUGAGCCGGGCGUGGUGGCGGGCGCCUGUAGUCCCAGCUACUCGGAGAGGCUGAGGCAGGAGAAUGGCAUGAACCCAGGAGGCGGAGCUUGCAGUGAGCCGAGAUUGCGCCACUGCACUCCAGCCUGGGCGACAGAGCGAGACUCCAUCUCAAAAAAAAAAAAAAAAAAAAAAAAAGACAUUAUGUUGCCCAGGUCACAGGCAUGAGCCAUCACGCCUGGCCAUCUCUCUCUCUCUUUAAAUAGAGAUGGGGUCUUACUCUUUGCUUGGUCACAAACUCCUGGACUCAAGCAAUCCUCCCGCCUCAGCCUCCCAAAAGUGGUGGGAUUACAGGUGUGAGCUGCUGCACCUGGCUACAAUUUUGUUUUAAACAAUCAGGUUUAGAGGCAAGUAAGUUCAGUUUCUUUGGACAUGUUGCAUAUUCAAAAGCAGAUGUCCAAUAAACUGUUGAGAUAUACAAUUCAAGAGAGAUGGAGGGCUGGGUGCAGUGGCUCAUGCCUGUAAUUCCAGCACUUUGGGAGGCCAAGGCAGGCGGAUCACUUGAGGUCAGUAGUUGAGACCAGCCUGGCCAACAUGGCGAAACGCUGUCUCUACUAAAAAUACAAAAACUAGCCAAGUGUUGUGGUGGGCACCUGUAAUCUCAGCUACCUGGGAGGCUGAGGCAGGAAAAUCGCUUGAACCCGGGAGGCAGAGGUUUCAGUGAGCAGAGAUCAUGCCACUGCACUCCAGCCUGGGCGACAGAGGGAGACUCUGUCUCAAAAAAAAAAAAAAAAAAGAGAGAGAGAACGCGAGACAGGCACAGUGGCUCACACCUGUAACCCCAGCCCUUUGAAAGGCUUAGGUAGCUGAAUAGCUCGAAGCUGGAGGAGUUCAAGAUCAGCCUGUGCAACAUAGCGAGACCCUGUCUCUACCAAAAAAAAAAGUUUUUAAUUAGCUGGGCACAGUGGCUCAUACCUGUAAUCCCAGCACUUUGGGAUGCUAAAGUGGAAGGAUUGCUUGAGCCCAGGAGUUAAAAGUUAUAGUGAGCUAUGAUCACACCACUGCAUUCUAGCCUGGGUGAAAGAGUAAGACCCCAUCUCUGUUUAAAGAGACAGAGAGAUGGCCGGGCGCGAUGGCUCACACCUGUAAUCCCAGCACUUUGGGAGGCCGAGGCGGGCAGAUCAUGAGGUCAGGAGAUUGAGACUAUCCUGGCUAACACAGUGAAACCCCGUCUCUACUAAAAAUACAAAAAAUUAACCGGUGUGGUGGCAGGCACCUGUAGUCCCAGCUACUCAGGAGGCUGAGGCAAGAGAAUGGCAUGAACCCGGGAGGCAGAGAUUGCAGUGAGCCGAGAUCUCACCACUGCAUUCCAGCCUGGGCAACAAAGGGAGACUCUGUCUCAUAAAAAGAGAGAGAGAGAGAGAUGGGCCAUUCAUCAGGUAUCAAUUAUAACUGAAGUCACAGAGGGAACAUGAGUAUAUAGAAAGAGAAGAGGACAUAAGGACACUGAAUUUAAGGAAUGGAAUGGACACAUCAGAGAAGGUGGUAACGAAAACUCAAAAGGAAUGGCCAGAGAGGUAGAAGAGAAUCCAACAGUGUGAGGGCCAGAGCAGCAAUUCCAAAGCAAAGCACUAGCGGACUGUGGUUAAGUGUGCUGCAAUGCCAAGUAAAACAAGGGUGAGAAAGGGUCAUUCUAUUUUGCAACUGUGUCAACAUUGGCGACCCUGGUGAGAGUAGUUUUGGUUGCACAACGGGAAUAAAUCUACUCUAGGAUGCUCAGGAGUAGAUGAGAGAUAACUAAAUGGAGAUAGUAUACUAUAAACUCUUUUUAAGUAUUAGUUUAGGCCAGGCACAGUGGCUCAUGCCUGUAAUCCCAGCAAUCUGGAAGGCCGAGGCAGGUGGAUCACCUGAGGUCAGGAGUUUGAGACCAGCAUGGCCAAUAUGGUGAAACCCCGUCUCUACUAAAAAUACAAAAAUUAGCCAGGCAUGGUGGUACAUGCCUGGAGUCCCAGCUACUCUGAGGCAGGAGAAUCGCUUGAACUCAGUAGGAGGAGGUUGCAGUAAACUGAGAUUGCAACACUGCACUCCAGCCUGGGCAACAGAGCGAGAUACUGUCUCAAAAAAAAAAAAAAUAACCAUAAAUAAAUAAAUGUUAGUUUCUAAAAAAAGAAGAGAGUGAUAUGGUAGAAGCCAGUAAGAGAAGUAGAGUUCAAAAGGGGUAUUUUUAAUAUAAGACAGGCUUAAAUAUAUUUAAAUAUUAAAAUAUUGAAACAGAUGCAGAGUUUUUAGUUUCCUAUUAUGAUCAUGCUCUUUCUUCUAACUACUUCCUUCCUUCUCACAGGAAAUUACUACUGAAAUACCAGACAUUCAGCCUAGUCCUGCAGUUUGCUGCAUAGAAUGCCAGUCACUGAGUCAACAAGUAUUUCCAGGAAGGAGGGCUUGCAUCGGGGGGUGCAGUGAAAGACAACAGGAGAUAAAGUCUCAAAUCAGUCUCUCUGACUGACUGAAACUGGGGAGUUUAUAUAGCAGGAAAGGAACCCACUGUCAACUUUGGAACAAAGACUCUUCACAAAAUGGAAAAUGCCUAUGGAGACAUCUUGAGAAGAGCCAAACAUAUCUUCUGGCCAGGCACGGUGGCUCACGCCUGUAAUCUCAGCACUUUGGGAGGCUGAGGUAGGGGGAUCAUUUGAGGUCAGGAGUUCAAGACCAGCCUGGCCAACAUGGUGAAACCUCAUCUCAACUGAAAAUACAAAAAUUAGCUGGGCAUGGUGGCGCACACCUGUAAUCCCAGCUACUCAGGAGGCUAAGGCAGAAGAAUUGCUUGAACCCAGGAGGCAGAGACUGCAGUGAGCCAAGAUCACACCACUGUACUCCAACCUGGGCGAUUGAGUGAGACUCUGUCUCAAAAUAUAUAUGUGUGUGUGUGUGUGUGUGUGUGUGUAUCUUCCAUGUCAGUUCUAACCAAGAAAGCAAUUUUGCCUGAUUUGUGACCACAGGAAAAAGGGUGCUCACUUUACUUUCAAAUCAGUGCCCAGUCACUGUUAGCACAAGCCACAGCAGUGGAGCUAACCAACAUAUGAUGUAAAAUGCCUUCUAUUUGCCUGGUGCUAUGGCAAGUACUACAGGCAAGAUCCGUAAAGAUGGAAAGGGGCAUCCCAGAGAAGAAAGCAGCAAUCACAGCUAACGCAACUUAUCCUGCUUCUGGGCUUCAUCUUCCCCUAACUCAUUGAUUCAAUCUGUCCUCCACUUUGACAGUCAAAGAGAUCACCCUAAAACACAAGUCUGCUAAUGUCAAUGAUACAUGAGCCACCACGUCUUAUAACAGUGAAAAAAUAUGGCAGUAAGAGAUCUUAUCUAACCCAUGCUCCCCCAUCUUGCCUUUCCCUUAACCAUUCCUACACUUAGGCUAAACUAACUUUGGGAGACAUUUAGUUUAUAGUUUAAAUGAUAAGAAACCUUCCCCAAAACUCAACCACCUUUGUAAAGCUAAUGAAAGGCCAUCAGACUAGGGGGAGGAGAGGAACCUGAAUUCUGCUAAGCUGUAGACUGGUCACCAGAUAUGUCCUGCACAUAACAUCACUGUUGUAGAUUGGCAUUUUGAGAUAUCUUUUCAGGUUUUUUGCAUGUCUGACACCCAGAGCUCCACCUGGACCUGCCAACUCCACUCCUGUGGCCCUACCCAGAAGCAACUCAGCUCAAGAGAGCAGCUUCAAGAUCCUGUGAUUUCAUCUCCACCCAAACCAAUCAGCAGCAAGCACUCCAACCCCUUCCCCCAAACUGCCUUUGAAAAACCUCUAACCUAUGAGCUGAAGAUGAGGCUGAUUUGAAUAACAAUUCCAUCUCCCAUGUGGUGUGGCCAGCCUUGUGUCAAUUAAACUCUUUCGUCCCACCCCAUAAACUCUUUUUUUACUGCAA